UACGGAGGAUCCAAGCGUUAUCCGGAUUCAUUGGGUUUAAAGGGUGCGUAGGCGGAAUUGUAAGUCAGUGGUGAAAGCCUGCAGCUUAACUGCAGAAUUGCCAUUGAUACUGCAAAUCUUGAGUACAUUUGAUGUGGGCGGAAUGUGUCAUGUAGCGGUGAAAUGCUUAGAUAUGACACAGAACACCGAUUGCGAAGGCAGCUCACAAAACUGUAACUGACGCUGAGGCACGAAAGCGUGGGGAUCGAACAGG
rnacentral:rRNA from 1 species